CCUAUUUUGACAGUUUUUUCACCUACGUUGUUUACUGAUCAAGAAAAAAUGUCCAUACUGGGUUUAUUUUGUAGCCCUAUCCUUCUUUAUUGUAUAGGUACACCAAUUUGAUUUUUAAUCCAUAUUGAGUCAUAAAAAAAUGGGUUUGAAUCAACCUCCAAACUAUCCAUGAUUCUGUAAUGAGGAGUACCCAAAUUGCAUCCAUGCUUAAAUUCACAUCGUCAAAAGUCUAAUAACCGAGCUUUUGUUUAAUUUCUUCAAAUAUUUUAAACAAUUGGAUAUUAGUCCAUGCUUACUCUUCAUAUGUUACGAAAUGGAUACUUAUAAUAUAUUGUAUUUGCUAAUUUUAAAAAGAUGACGUUUUGAUGACGUCGCAUGGUGACGUUUUCGUACAUUUUGCUUUUUCAGUAAACAGUCCA
rnacentral:lncRNA from 1 species